GUCAAAGGAGGGAGGCACACAGCAGGAGGGGAAGAAAGAGAUCCGCAGUCUUCAGGAGUAGCUGGCUGCCUUGAAGGAGAUCAGUGUGUCAAAAAGGCUUCCCAAAACAACCUGGCAGAUGCAGGAGAUGACCAGUCUUCAGUUGUCAACCACUUAGACAAGAUGAGUCCUUCACUGAAGAUGGACUGGACCUGCACUAUUGCUGCGCCGCUGUGACCAAUGUAGACAGGCCUGGAAGGCUCACCUCAUGGGCAGAGAGGGCUGUAAACAGAACUCACGGAGGACUGCGGUAUCGCAGUGAGCCCAGCAGGCACAAGGUAAGCCAUUCAUACACGCAUUUACCCCCCCCCCCCUGCUCUUCCACCCAAAAGCCUGGGCUAGUGUUAGACCCAUGGAAUGGGCCCAUGCUACCUGUUGGUCAAAUAUAGAGCAGUGUUCCUGUCUCAUACCAAGAGGUGCAUUGAAAUGGUGACUUAUGUCAAUUUGGAGUGUAGUAAAUAAUGUGUUUGCAUAUUCGGGAGUUCAUAAAAACUGGAAAGGCCAGCAAUGCUUUCAAAAUGCAAAACUAAUGAGUGCAUGUGAAUGAUCAGUAUGUGCUCAAGUAACAUGCUUGACUGCAUUUAAUCUGUUAACACUCUUUCACUGAACGUUUCUGUUGUCCUUUCCCUUCCUCCUAACCUCUGCCAGCACAGGCACCUUCAUGUUCUUUCAGAUGUCCUUUGUGUCCAAUCAAACAUGCAUAUGUUGACCAAUGGGUAAAUUGUAUGUUUGUGUAGAUCCUCCUCUAAAUAAACAAUGGUCAA